rnacentral:lncRNA from 1 species
CAAGAAGAUAACUACGUUGGAUGGUGGUGUGAAAAUCUCUGAGCUUGUGAAUUAUCCUGUCAGAGGUCUCUUCUUUGAGGGUGGAAAUGCCCUGCAAGAUUUAUCCAACACUGUCUCAGAUGCCUGCAUUUGCCUUCAAGAAAACAACAUACCUUACAAUGUGCUCAUUGCUGAUUGUGGAAACCACAUCUUUCUCCUUCCACAGGUAAUGAACAUGGGAGCAACAUAGAGUUGACUUCUUUGCUUGUUGAUAUUUUAACUGCAUAGAUUACACUUGUCUUCAAUUCUUUAAUAUUGUCUAAUGGAUGAACAGUGUUAUGCUGAGAAGCAAGCUCUAGGGGAAGUGAGUUCUGAGCUUCUUGAUACCCAAGUGAACCCUGCUGUGUGGGAAAUCAGCGGCCAUAUGGUGUUGAAGAGGAAGAAAGACUAUGAGGAGGCAUCGGAAGAGAAUGCUUGGAGGCUUCUUGCUGAGGUGUCUCUCUCCGAAGAGAGAUUCCAAGAAGUGAAUGCUCUCAUCUUUAAAGCUAUUUCCAACAGUGGUAAUUGCAGUGGAACUGAUUCUGAGAACGUGCUUGAGGAUGCAAAUGUUGAACAUACGUCUCUUGAAGAAGUGAAUGCCAUUAAUGAAAACUCCCAUUCAGCCAUGGUUACUGGGAGUCCAGGAUGUCUAGUUCUGCAGUGAGUAUUGUGCUUAGGUGAGCAGACCAGUGACAUAUCUGGCUCUCAAAUAAGCUUAUGGCAGUUUUGGCAUACAAGUGGUCUUCACUAGUGUGUUUGUGGAUUAUGGCAUUAGUCUAAAUAAGCAAACUAGGUUUGCAUUUUUAAACUUGGUGUGGAUUGUUGUCUUUAGCAUUUCUGGUUUUGUAUUCAGCCUAUUGACCAUGUAAUGUGGUCUUUGUAUGUACUGCAUGGGAUUUGUGUAAAAUAUUAUGGAAUGUUUACUCUUUGGAACUCGUAUCUUUUCAUGACAAUUUUCUUCUGGGCACUGAAUCCAAAUGAGACGUUAAUAUGAACAUGUAGAAAAAUUGGGUAAAUGAUUUAUGAAUUAUACAUAUUUUUAUGGAUUUUGUACCUAAUUUAUUGUUCCUUGAAUGAUUUUAUCAUUAUGUCCAGUAUCGUUAGUUUGUCUGUCAUGUGAUUGACAUUCAUUUGCUGAACCAUAAAGAAAAUAAUGAAAGGUGUUUUUCGCUUACCUCUCUAAGAUUUUGAAUUAAAAAAAAAAUAUAGAAUCAAAUAACUCACCACUUAAAAAUCCGGAUUGAAUAACCAUUUUAGAGAUAUAAAGUUAAAGAAAAUAAUACUGACAAAGUCAAGGAAAUGAUGCUGAAUUUGAUACAUGUCAAUUUGCCUAGGUUAAAAUAAUUAGAAUUAAAUUCAUUUUUUUUUUAAACUUACAAUAUAUGAUCUGAAUCAUAAUUAUAUAUUUGAAAUGUAUUUUCAAAUCUAGAAAAUAUCAAAAUAAAAUAAAUAAAACUUAAUAAUAGUCUGAAUCAUAAUUAUAUAUUUGAAACAUCAUUUCAAGUCUUAAAAAAUAUUAAAAUAAUAUAAAUAAAACCUAAUAAUUGAAUUUAACAUAAUUAUAGACAAUAAAUAAUAAUAACUCGUUUUUAACUUUAGAAAGUGUAGACAAACACUUAGAUAGCACUAAAAUUAAAAUUGACAUAACUCUUUGUAGAAAAUUCCAAUAGAUGCAUGACUAGCCGACUAACUUGUAAAGAUAACAUUCUGCACUUGAAAACCAUGUAGGAUCCACUUAUUUUCCUAGGCAAUAAAAAGAUAAAAAAAAAUAAGCUCAAAAUUGACAAUGUACUAAUAACAAACAACCUAAAAAACAUCAUCUAUUUAUAAUGUUAACUCAUUCAAGUAACCCAACUCUAUUUGGACCAAUAAUGAACACUCCAGGGGAUAGGAUUUUAUUUCUUGUUUUUAGGGCUUUUUGGAAUAUAUAUAUAUAAACAAGAAAUAAAAUGCGUUCUCUCUCUCCUAUCCCUUGAAGUAAAGGAGUUUUUGUAAGGGAGAUCAUAUUUUAUUUUUUCAAGGUUUUUUUUAUAUACAUAUAUUGUUAUAAAAUCUAUAAUUACAUAUAUUGAAUGCACAAUAAAAUCUUUUAAACUUUGUAACUUUUAGGUUUAGUCUCUUGGUUUUUUAUGACACUUGGGUCUUUUAGUGUCUUCUAAUGUUCUCAUUUUCUUCUCCUAUAAAUAGACUAGUCUUGUAUUCUAAGGAUUGAAAAAUAUAUAAGAAAAUGUAUCAAUUUUUCUUUUAAGUUCUAUUUUGAAUAUGUAUAUUAUUACUUGUUCUUUAUUUUUUUAACACAUUAUCAGUAUAAUCACUCUAAUUAAUUUCUAUUGAAAUGUUGACACACAUGAACUCCUAUAUUACAUGGCUUGUAUCAAUUUCAAUAUUUUCUUUUCAUUAUGUUUCAUACUUUAUAGAAUAUAUUUGGUUCUCCAACUUAUUUUUGACAAGUUUUCUUUCCUUUUUAUUCAUCAAGAACUAAAGUUUCUGAAGAACUAGUAUUGUAAGUUUCUAAAUAAAUAAAUUAAAUGCAGUUCUUGAAAAACUAGUAUUUCUAAAGAACUAAAUAAAUGACAGUUUUAAAAGACUGAUUUUUUCUUUUAUAUUCAUGAUUUUAUUUAAUAAGUUGUUUCUUUUUUUAUAUAAAUAAUAUUGAAUAUAACAAAACAUGAAUUUACUACUCUUGAUAUAUCUGAGAAUAAUUAUUUGUCAUGUAUCAUUGAUGCUAAGAUUCAUCGAGAAGCUAUAAAUCUUGGAGAGACCAUCAAAGAAGAAAAUAAUGCAUCCUUGCAUGAUCGUGCAAAAGCAAUGAUUUUUAUUUGCCACCAUCUAAGUGAAGGAUUAAAAGUUGAAUAUCUCAACAAUAAAAGAUCCUCUUGUUUUGUGGAAAAAUCUAAAAGAAAGAAAUGACCACUAAAAGUGUAUCAUACUUCCUCAAAUUCGUUAUGAUUGGUUGCACUUGAAGUUGCAAGAUUUUAAAUCCGUUAGUAAAUAUAAUUUUGCUCUUUUUAAAAUUACCUCAAAGAAGAAAUUGUAUGGUGAAAAUAUCACAAAAGACCAAAUGUUAGAGCCUGCAACAACAAUAUAGAGAAUGUAAUUCCAAGAGAUACUUAGAACUAGUUUCAUGUCUUCUUAUAACUUAACAAAAUAAUGAGCUUUUGAUGAAAAAUAAUCAAUCUCGUGCCACGUGUUCUAAACCAUUCCCUGAACUGAAUGAAACCUUUGUCCAAAACACAAGAAAGAACUAAGGGUACUGUGAACACCCGAUUGAAAUUUUCUAGGAUUAUAAAUUUAAUAAAAAGAAAUUAGGGAAAUGAAUGAAGAUAGAAAUAUAUUUUUUAUGAGAAAAUAAAUAAAUAAAAUAAAAUGGUAGAAGGGUAAAAUUGAAUAAUAUUAAGUUAAAGGUUAUGGGAUUAAAUCAAUUAAGGUGUUAAAAGAGUGAGAUCUAAAUAGAGAAUUAAAUGAACUUUGGGCCAUUAUGUAAAUAAAGGAACUUCAUGAUAUAGUACAUGAAUGGGAAGCCAUUCAUGGCCUGCUAUUGAGAGGGUGAGAAGAGAGGAAACAAUUGGGGAGAUUUCUUGUAUUUUCCACUUAGAUUUCAUCUAAUUAAGCAUUAAAUACUAGAGAGUAAGGGAUUAUAGGAAGUUUAGAGGAUAUUUGGACAAAGAAUCAAGAAAACAAUCCUUGGGAUUUUGCUAGCAGGUUUUUGAAGAAAUAAGGAGAAAGAAAAGAAAAUUUUAUUCUAGGACCUUUUACCUUCACUUUUCUUGUGGGUAAGUGGUAAAGUGCCUAAGUUUAUGAAUCUUUAUGCAUUUCUAAAUUUAUAUUUAUGAAUUAUGCAUUAAAGAAUGUUAUGUAGAAUUAUGUAAUUCAUAAAUUGAUGCUCAUAUGAUAGACUAAUGUUGAUAUGUAUGCGAAAUUAUAUGGGUGAUGAAUGAUUAAUAGAAAUUAUUGAAAGAAUAUAAUAAAUUCUAACUAGAAAUAUUUAUGUGGGGUUAUGAUAUUUAUAUGACUAUGAUAUGCACAAUUAUGAAAGUAAGCAUGUUGGUUUGAAUAGGAAAUAAUGAAACAAAAAAACUUGAAUGAAUGCCUUAAAUUGGUUAGGUCCCAUUACGAUCACUAUUUAGUUUUAUAGUUGGAAAAAAAAUUAUUCAAGUUAUUGAGAAAAUUGUGAAUAAAUAUAUCAACUAGAUGAUUUAAAUGUGUAAAGGUGAGGAAUUGAUGGAAAAAUAGAUCAUUCUAUUAAGAAUUUGCUUUCUUUGACAGAAAGAUAUAAAAAUAAAUCAAUGAAUUUAAAUGGUUAAGCUAGGUAGAAAUAAGCCAAAUGAAUUCAAAACAAAAAAGGAUUUUUUAAUAGUGAGAAGAGAAUAUUAAUUAUCUAACGUGGAAUGAAGUCUUAUUUUCAUGAGACAAUGGAAAGGGAAAGAAUUAUAUUAGUUAAGAAAAGAAAUAAUGAUUAAGGGCUUUUAAAUAGAGAAUAUAUUGAUGAGAUAAUUCAAUUAAAAAUAAAUAAAUAAAUAAGAAAGAAUCUACCAAAAGGAGAGAUUUCAUGAAUCUAUAAGAAUAAAUUUGAUUUAACUUCACAGGAGAAGUUACUGGCGGGUUAGAGACCGUGCGAAUGGUAGUACGUUAGACAACUAUAGGUAGGUGAAAAUAUUCACCACAAAAAUUGAAUUAAUCAAAUUUUUAGGGAGUUAGUAUUGAGGUUAUUAUAAUAUUUACUUUUAAUUGUUAAUCGUAAUUAUUAUGUGAGAAAACAAAUUAUACAGUUUAAUAAAUAAAAUGAUAUAUGUAAUUGAAAAAGAAUAUUGAAUUGUUUGGGCUCCCAAAAUGGGAAUGCUUGAUUUAAUGAAUAUCCACGUCAAGAUGUUGAAUUUUUUAUGGUAUUUAGAAGAGAAUACCAGAUUAGAUUGACUUUUAAAAUGAGGAAUGCUAGAUUGAAAAAAUAUCAUAGAGAUGAUAUGGUAUUCAUCAAUGAAUACUGGAUUUGAUUGGCUUCCACGAUAGGGAAUGUCAGACUGAAAAGUAUAAUAGAGAGGAUAUUGAUAUUUUUAUGGUAUUCAGAAAAAAAUACUAUAUUGGAUUGACUUUUAAAAUAAAAAAUGUCAGAUUGAAAACAAAUAUCAUAAAGAGGAUACUGAUAUUUUUAUGGUAUUCAGAUAAGAAUAUUAGACUGAAUUGACUUUCAAAAUGGAGAAUCUCAUAUUUAAGAGUAUCGACCAUGAGGGUACUAGAAUUCAUGUGGUAUUUAAAAAUAGAAAUAUAAUUGAUUGAUUCCUACAAUGAAAGUGCCAAAUUAAUGAGUAUCUAUAAGUGAAAAUUAUAAAUUAUUAAUAGUGAAGGAAACACCGAACUUGUAGAAUUUUAUUCAGAAAAUUAUGUUUGAUAAAUACGUGGUUGAUUUGUUAUGUUAAGAAAUAGAAUAUUCGAAAAGAAUUUUUAACGAUUCAGCAAUGAGAUGGAAUUGUUGGAGUAAAAAUGUAUCAUUGAAUAUAUUGUUAAAUAAUUUGGUUAGAAUUUCAAGUUUGAUUAUUUUUUCUAAAAUAUAAAGAUCAUUAAUAAUAUUAAUAAUAAAUCAAUUAUUGUGCUGAUUAUUAUAUGCAUGGUAAAUUUUCAAGUUCAUCUUAGUCUCGUCAGGGUUAACAUUUUACUGCACUCAAAUCUCUUUUGCAUAUAUUUUGUUAUAAAUAGUAUUAUUUAAUAAUGUUGAAAUGAGAAGAAUUAUGUAAUUAAUCCAGUUUAAGUAUAAGAUGAAUUGGAUGUAAAUGGUGUGUGAUAAUUAAUUAGGAUGAAUGGAAUAUAAGUUGGUUAUGUUUUAGCUUAAAUAUAUUAUGAAAUUUAAUGUUAAAUGAGACGUUUUCAUGAA